CUACGGGUCGCUGCAGUGGCGAAUCUUCCACAAUGGGCGAAAGCCUGAUGGAGCAACGCCGCGUGAGUGAAGAAGGUUUUCGGAUCGUAAAACUCUGUUGUAAGGGAAGAACAAGUACAGUAGUAACUGGCUGUACCUUGACGGUACCUUAUUAGAAAGCCACGGCUAACUACGUGCCAGCAGCCGCGGUAAUACGUAGGUGGCAAGCGUUGUCCGGAAUUAUUGGGCGUAAAGCGCGCGCAGGCGGUCCUUUAAGUCUGAUGUGAAAGCCCACGGCUCAACCGGGGAGGGUCAUUGGAAACUGGGGGACUUGAGUGCAGAAGAGGAAAGUGGAAUUCCAAGUGUAGCGGUGAAAUGCGUAGAGAUUUGGAGGAACACCAGUGGCGAAGGCGACUUUCUGGUCUGUAACUGACGCUGAGGCGCGAAAGCGUGGGGAGCAAACAGGAUUAGAUACCCUGGUAGUC
rnacentral:rRNA from 1 species